GUGAGUCAUCGAGUCUUUGAACGCACCUUGCGCUCCUUGGUAUUCCGAGGAGCAUGCCUGUUUGAGUGUCUUGAAGUCAUCAACCCCUCACGUUUUGUGCGGAGAGGAAGGUUGGAUCUGGGGGCCUGCUGCCGUCCAGGUGGCUCCCCUCAAAUGCGUCGGUCGGGCCUGCGGGUCGAACUCGGUUGGGCGUUGGUACCAUCCUCGCUCUAGUCCGAGAUGUUCUUGCUUUGUCGAGCCCUUCCCAGACCGCCUUUUGAGUGGCGUUCAAGUUGUAACUUUGGAAAUCUGACCUCAAUCAGGUAGGACUACCCGCUGAACUUAAGCAUAUCAAUAAGGCGAGG
rnacentral:rRNA from 1 species